AUUGAACGCUGGCGGCAGGCCUAACACAUGCAAGUCGAGCGGAUGAAGGGAGCUUGCUCCUGGAUUCAGCGGCGGACGGGUGAGUAAUGCCUAGGAAUCUGCCUGGUAGUGGGGGAUAACGUCCGGAAACGGGCGCUAAUACCGCAUACGUCCUGAGGGAGAAAGUGGGGGAUCUUCGGACCUCACGCUAUCAGAUGAGCCUAGGUCGGAUUAGCUAGUUGGUGGGGUAAAGGCCUACCAAGGCGACGAUCCGUAACUGGUCUGAGAGGAUGAUCAGUCACACUGAAACUGAGAAAGGGCCCAGACCCCAAGGGGAGGCAGCGGGGGGGAAUAUGGGAAAUGGGGCGAAAGCUUGUUCCAGCCAGGCGGGUGGGGGGAAGAAGGUCUUCGGAUGGAAAACCACUUAAGGUGGGGAGAAAGGGAAGUAGGUUAAACCCUGCCUGUUUUGACUUUACCAACAAAAUAGGCACCGCUAACUUCGUU
rnacentral:rRNA from 1 species